GUGCUCACUUCGGCAACACAUAUACUAAAACUGAAAUGAUACAGAGAAGAUUAGCAUGGCCCCUGUGCAAGGAUGACAUGCAAAUUAAGCGCACUUGAUUAUGGUGCU
rnacentral:snRNA from 1 species